UUGACCUCAAAUCAGGUAGGACUACCCGCUGAACUUAAGCAUAUCAAUAAGCGGAGGAAGAGAAACUAACAAGGAUUC
rnacentral:rRNA from 1 species